GCAGCAGGUGUGUAGCUGAGGAAGCAGCAGCAGAUGAUUAAUGAAGGAACAUCUGGAGGACUCCUUGUUGUAGGAGAAGAUGAAGUCACGGGAAUCCCUCGUUCAUGGAUUGAUUACUGCGCUGAGCCAGCAUAUCUCCACCAGACUCCAUAUGUUCUGCAGCUGGUUCUGUAGGAGACGGUGAGUCAGGGGGAAACCCUGCCGAAGCCAGAGCUCACACAGGAACCUCCCAGAGCCUCCAUCUCUCUUCCUGUCAGCAGCGUUGGUGUUUACGGCGCUGCCAGAUGGGUAGUGACGAGGGAUUCUCUCUCCGGUGUUUCCUGACUCCACAUAACCAGCUCUGUUUCCAGGCGAUGAACUCAGCGUCUCUGCGGCUCCACAGGACUGAUGUUUGUCUCUUGUUUUGGAGCUUUUAUGGCUCUGAAACAGCUGGAAUACACAGCUGCAGCUUUCCAGACUCUGUUCUCUAUAAAAAGGAAAAGGACGCCCUAACAACCAUCACUGUCACAUCACAGAGCCAGCUGGUUCAGCACAUCAAAACAAAGGGUUAGCUCUGUACUAGUAGGUUUAGCUCUGUACUAGCAGGUUUAGCUCUGUACUAGUAGGUUUAGCUCUGUACUAGUAGGUUUAGCUCUGUACUAGCAGGGUUAGCUCUAUACUAGCAGGUUUAGCUCUGUACUAGUAGGUUUAGCUCUGUACUAGUAGGUUUAGCUCUGUACUAGUAGGUUUAGCUCUGUACUAGCAGGGCUAGCUCUAUACUAGCAGGGCUAGCUCUAUACUAGCAGGGUUAGCUCUAUACUAGCAGGGCUAGCUCUAUACUAGCAGGGUUAGCUCUGUACUAGCAGGGUUAGCUCUAUACUAGCAGGGCUAGCUCUAUACUAGCAGGGCUAGCUCUAUACUAGCAGGGUUAGCUCUGUACUAGCAGGGCUAGCUCUAUACUAGCAGGGCUAGCUCUAUACUAGCAGGGCUAGCUCUAUACUAGCAGGGUUAGCUCUAUACUAGUAGGUUUAGCUCUAUACUAGCAGGGCUAGCUCUAUACUAGCAGGGCUAGCUCUAUACUAGCAGGGCUAGCUCUAUACUAGCAGGGUUACAUUU